GGCGCAAGCCUGAUGGAGCAACACCGCGUGAGUGAAGAAGGGUUUCGGCUCGUAAAGCUCUGUUGUUAAAGAAGAACACGUAUGAGAGUAACUGUUCAUACGUUGACGGUAUUUAACCAGAAAGUCACGGCUAACUACGUGCCAGCAGCCGCGGUAAUACGUAGGUGGCAAGCGUUAUCCGGAUUUAUUGGGCGUAAAGAGAGUGCAGGCGGUUUUCUAAGUCUGAUGUGAAAGCCUUCGGCUUAACCGGAGAAGUGCAUCGGAAACUGGAUAACUUGAGUGCAGAAGAGGGUAGUGGAACUCCAUGUGUAGCGGUGGAAUGCGUAGAUAUAUGGAAGAACACCAGUGGCGAAGGCGGCUACCUGGUCUGCAACUGACGCUGAGACUCGAAAGCAUGGGUAGCGAACAGGAUUAGAUACCCUGGUAGUCCAUGCCGUAAACGAUGAGUGCUAGGUGUUGGAGGGUUUCCGCCCUUCAGUGCCGGAGCUAACGCAUUAAGCACUCCGCCUGGGGAGUACGACCGCAAGGUUGAAACUCAAAGGAAUUGACGGGGGCCCGCACAAGCGGUGGAGCAUGUGGUUUAAUUCGAAGCUACGCGAAGAACCU
rnacentral:rRNA from 2 species